rnacentral:rRNA from 1 species
GUCCGUGUUCGAAAGGGAAACAGCCCAGACCACCAGCUAAGGUCCCAAAAUAUAUGUUAAGUGGAAAAGGAUGUGGCGUUGCCCAGACAACUAGGAUGUUGGCUUAGAAGCAGCCAUCAUUUAAAGAGUGCGUAAUAGCUCACUAGUCGAGUGACACUGCGCCGAAAAUGUACCGGGGCUAAACAUAUUACCGAAGCUGUGGAUUGUCCUUUGGACAAUGGUAGGAGAGCGUUCUAAGGGCGUUGAAGCAUGAUCGUAAGGACAUGUGGAGCGCUUAGAAGUGAGAAUGCCGGUGUGAGUAGCGAAAGACGGGUGAGAAUCCCGUCCACCGAUUGACUAAGGUUUCCAGAGGAAGGCUCGUCCGCUCUGGGUUAGUCGGGUCCUAAGCUGAGGCCGACAGGCGUAGGCGAUGGAUAACAGGUUGAUAUUCCUGUACCACCUAUA